rnacentral:rRNA from 1 species
AGCGAACGCUGGCGGCAUGCUUAACACAUGCAAGUCGCACGGGCAGCAAUGUCAGUGGCGGACGGGUGAGUAACGCGUAGGAACGUGUCCUGAGGUGGGGGACAACCCCGGGAAACUGGGGCUAAUACCGCAUAUGGGCUGAGGCCCAAAGCCGAGAGGCGCCUUUGGAGCGGCCUGCGUCCGAUUAGGUAGUUGGUGGGGUAAAGGCCUACCAAGCCUGCGAUCGGUAGCUGGUCUGAGAGGACGACCAGCCACACUGGGACUGAGACACGGCACAGACUCCUACGGGAGGCAGCAGUGGGGAAUAUUGGACAAUGGGCGAAAGCCUGAUCCAGCAAUGCCGCGUGGGUGAAGAAGGUCUUCGGAUCGUAAAGCCCUUUCGACGGGGACGAUGAUGACGGUACCCGUAGAAGAAGCCCCGGCUAACUUCGUG